AUGCGGUGCCCUGCUCAGCUCCUGGGGCUGCUGAUGCUCUGCAUCUCUGGAUGCAGUGGAGAUGUUGUGCUGACCCAGACUCCACUCUCCCUGCCUGUCACCCUGGGAGAGCCGGCCUCCAUCUCCUGCAGGUCUAGUCAGAGCCUCCUAGAUAGCGAUGGAAACACAUACUUGUAUUGGUACCUGCAGAAGCCAGGACGAUCUCCACAGCUCCUGAUCUAUUUGGUUUCCAACCGAGCAUCUGGGGUCCCAGACAGGUUCCAUGGCAGUGGGUCAGGCACAGAUUUCACACUGACCAUCAACAGGGUGGAGGCUGAGGAUGUUGGGGUUUAUCACUGCACUCAAGAUAUGUAUGUUCCUCUCACAGUGAUACAGCCCCAAACAAAAACCUCUGUGCUUGGCCUGGCCCAGCUGUCCUCAUAUUUUGCUUGUUGGGGAGCAGCACAACCAAUUCUCUGA